GCAUUGGUGGUUCAGUGAUAGAAUUCUCACUUUCCAUGUGGGAGACCCAGGUUCGAUUCCUGGACAAUGUA
rnacentral:tRNA from 1 species